AUAUUUAUAGCUCAAUCGGUAGAGCAUUGGUUUUUUAAGCCAUAGGUUUUGGGUUCGAGUCCCAUUAAAUAUA
rnacentral:tRNA from 1 species